rnacentral:rRNA from 1 species
GCUAAGCACUCCUACGGGGGCAGCAGUGGGGAAUAUUGCACAAUGGGCGCAAGCCUGAUGCAGCCAUGCCGCGUGUAUGAAGAAGGCCUUCGGGUUGUAAAGUACUUUCAGCAGUGAGGAAGGUGGGUAUGUUAAUAGCAUACUCAUUUGACGUUAGCUGCAGAAGAAGCACCGGCUAACUCCGUGCCAGCAGCCGCGGUAAUACGGAGGGUGCGAGCGUUAAUCGGAAUUACUGGGCGUAAAGCGCAUGCAGGUGGUUUGUUAAGUCAGAUGUGAAAAGCCCGGGGCUCAACCUCGGAAUUGCAUUUGAAACUGGCAAACUAGAGUACUGUAGAGGGGGUAGAAUUUCAGGUGUAGCGGUGAAAUGCGUAGAGAUCUGAAGGAAUACCGGUGGCGAAGGCGGCCCCCUGGACAGAUACUGACACUCAGAUGCGAAAGCGUGGGGAGCAAACAGGAUUAGAUACCCUGGUAG